CCUACGGGAGGCAGCAGUCGGGAAGAAUGGGCAACGGAGGAAAAUCUGACCCAGCAAUGCCGCCGGAUUGGUGAAGGUCUUCGGAUUGUAAAACUCUCCUCGGGGGCGGACGAUAAUGACGGACGCAGGGACGCCC
rnacentral:rRNA from 1 species